rfam:Citreicella sp. 357 C357_260, whole genome shotgun sequence.
GAUCAAGCGCGAGAAGGGCGUUUGGUGAAUGCCUUGGCAGCAAGAGGCGAUGAAGGACGUGAUACUCUGCGAUAAGUCAUGGGGAGCUGAGAAUAAGCUUUGAUCCAUGAAUUUCCGAAUGGGGCAACCCACCUGAAACUCUGUUAUAAUUACCUUCGGGUGAUUUAUAGCAGGGUGAAACAGGUACUUCUUAUCUGAAUACAUAGGAUUAGAAGAGCAAACCCGGGGAACUGAAACAUCUAAGUACCCGGAGGAAAGGAAAUCAAUUGAUACUCCCCUAGUAGCGGCGAGCGAACGGGGACCAGCCGAGCCUUGAGAGUGAAUAGAAUGGUCUGGAAUGGCCAACCAUAGUGGGUGACAGUCCCGUAUAUGAAGCUCGAUGGGACGUAUUAAGUAGGGCGGGACACGUGAAAUCCUGUCUGAAGAUCGGGGGACCACCCUCGAAGGCUAAGUACUCCUUGCUGACCGAUAGUGAACCAGUACCGUGAGGGAAAGGUGAAAAGCACCCCGACGAGGGGAGUGAAACAGUACCUGAAACCGAACGCCUACAAUCAGUCGGAGCUUCCUUGCGAAGUGACGGCGUACCUUUUGUAUAAUGGGUCAUCGACUUGGUCUAUCUAGCAAGCUUAAGCCGUUAGGUGUAGGCGCAGCGAAAGCGAGUCUUAAUAGGGCGUUGAGUUAGAUGGAUCAGACCCGAAACCGAGUGAUCUAGGCAUGACCAGGAUGAAGGUAAGGUAACACUUACUGGAGGUCCGAACCCACACCUGUUGAAAAAGGUCGGGAUGAGUUGUGCCUAGGGGUGAAAGGCCAAUCAAACUCGGAGAUAGCUGGUUCUCCGCGAAAUCUAUUUAGGUAGAGCGUCAUCCGAAUACCCCCGGGGGUAGAGCACUGGAUGGGUAAUGGGGCCCCACAGGCUUACUGAUCCUAACCAAACUCCGAAUACCGGGGAGUACUAGAUGGCAGACACACGGCGGAUGCUAACGUCCGUCGUGGAGAGGGAAACAACCCUGACCUACAGCUAAGGCCCCCAAUUCAUGGCUAAGUGGGAAAGCAGGUGGGACGACCAAAACAACCAGGAGGUUGGCUUAGAAGCAGCCAUCCUUUAAAGAUAGCGUAACAGCUCACUGGUCUAAUCAAGUUGUCCUGCGGCGAAGAUGUAACGGGGCUCAAGCCAUGAGCCGAAGCUUAGGAUGCACAUAGUGCAUGGUAGCGGAGCGUAGUGUGACAUAGAACUCUGUCUCUUGUAUCGCGUCGUUAUGGACGGUGCAGCAAUGCGCUCAAGUAGCGAAGCGGUAGCGCAGACAUGAGUUCUUUCUGUGAAGCCGGCGCGUGAGCGAUCCGGUGGAGAGAUCACUAGUGAGAAUGAUGACAUGAGUAGCGACAAAGAGUGUGAGAGACACUCUCGCCGAAAGUCCAAGGGUUCCUGCUUAAAGCUAAUCUGAGCAGGGUAAGCCGGCCCCUAAGGCGAGGCCGAAAGGCGUAGUCGAUGGGAACCAGGUUAAUAUUCCUGGGCCAUGUGGUGGUGACGGAUUGCGACGGUUGUUCAUCCUUAUCGGAUUGGAUGGGCCGCUUAGCAGUUCCUGGAAAUAGCCCCACUUUAGGACCGUACCCUAAACCGACACAGGUGGACUGGUAGAGCAUACCAAGGCGCUUGAGAGAACGAUGUUGAAGGAACUCGGCAAAAUACCUCCGUAAGUUCGCGAGAAGGAGGCCCGGUUCCUAGGCAACUAGGAGCUGGGGGCACAAACCAGGGGGUGGCGACUGUUUACUAAAAACACAGGGCUCUGCGAAGUCGCAAGACGACGUAUAGGGUCUGACGCCUGCCCGGUGCCUGAAGGUUAAAAGGAGGGGUGAGAGCUCUGAAUUGAAGCCCAGGUAAACGGCGGCCGUAACUAUAACGGUCCUAAGGUAGCGAAAUUCCUUGUCGGGUAAGUUCCGACCUGCACGAAUGGCGUAACGACUUCCCCGCUGUCUCCAACAUCGACUCAGCGAAAUUGAAUUGCCUGUCAAGAUGCAGGCUUCCCGCGGUUAGACGGAAAGACCCCGUGCACCUUUACUACAGCUUCGCACUGGCAUCAGGAUUGUGAUGUGCAGGAUAGGUGGUAGGCUUUGAAGCAGGAACGCCAGUUUCUGUGGAGCCAACAGAUGAGAUACCACCCUUCGCACUCUUGAUGUCUAACCGCGGUCCGUUAUCCGGAUCCGGGACCCUGCGUGGCGGGUAGUUUGACUGGGGCGGUCGCCUCCUAAAGCGUAACGGAGGCGCGCGAAGGUUGGCUCAGAGCGGUCGGAAAUCGCUCGUUGAGUGCAAUGGCAAAAGCCAGCCUGACUGCAAGACUGACAAGUCGAGCAGAGACGAAAGUCGGCCAUAGUGAUCCGGUGGUCCCAAGUGGGAGGGCCAUCGCUCAACGGAUAAAAGGUACGCCGGGGAUAACAGGCUGAUACUGCCCAAGAGUCCAUAUCGACGGCAGUGUUUGGCACCUCGAUGUCGGCUCAUCUCAUCCUGGGGCUGGAGCAGGUCCCAAGGGUAUGGCUGUUCGCCAUUUAAAGAGGUACGUGAGCUGGGUUUAGAACGUCGUGAGACAGUUCGGUCCCUAUCUGCCGUGGGUGUAGGAUACUUGAGAGGAGUUGCCCCUAGUACGAGAGGACCGGGGUGAACGAUCCACUGGUGGACCAGUUGUCAUGCCAAUGGCAGUGCUGGGUAGCUAUGAUCGGACAGGAUAACCGCUGAAGGCAUCUAAGCGGGAAGCCCCCCUCAAAACAAGGUAUCCCUGAGGGCCGUGGUAGACCACCACGUCGAUAGGCCGGAGAUGUAAGCGCAGCAAUGCGUUCAGUUGACCGGUACUAAUGGCCCGACAGGCUUGAUCCG